rnacentral:rRNA from 1 species
AUACAGAGGGUGCAAGCGUUAAUCGGAAUUACUGGGCGUAAAGCGCGCGUAGGCGGUUUAAUCAGUCGGAUGUGAAAGCCCCGGGCUCAACCUGGGAACUGCAUUCGAUACUGUUAAGCUAGAGUAUGGUAGAGGGAAGUGGAAUUCCAGGUGUAGCGGUGAAAUGCGUAGAUAUCUGGAGGAACAUCAGUGGCGAAGGCGACUUCCUGGACUAAAACUGACGCUGAGGUACGAAAGCGUGGGUAGCAAACAGGAUUAGAAACCCUAGUAGUCC